UUCCUGGUGGCUCAGAGAGUAAAGAAUCUGCCUGCAAUGCAGGAGACCUGGGUUUGAUCCCUGGCUGGGGAA
rnacentral:tRNA from 1 species